rnacentral:rRNA from 1 species
GAAAGUAAACAAGGGCGCAUGGAGGAUGCCUAGGCUCUCGGAGGCGAAGAAGGACGUGAUAAGCUGCGAAAAGUUACGGUAAGGCGCAAAUAGCCCUAGACCCGUAAAUAUCCGAAUGGGGCAACCCGGCCAGCAAUGGCCAUACCGCCAAGCGGUAAGCCAACGCGGGGAACUGAAACAUCUAAGUACCCGCAGGAAAAGAAAAUAACAAUGAUUCCGCCAGUAGUGGCGAGCGAACGCGGAACAGCCCAAACCACCCGUGUUACGGCACGAGUGGGGUAGAAGGAUCCACGCUACGGCAAGAAAUAAGUUAGCAGAAUACGAUGGAAAUCGUAGCCAGAGACGGUGACAGCCCGGUACGCGAAAACGGACAGAAGCCCAGUGGACACCUGAGUAACCCAGGACACGAGAAAUCCGGGGCGAAUCAGCGGGGCCCAUCCCGUAAGGCUAAAUACUCCCGAGAGACCGAUAGCGAACCAGUACUGUGAAGGAAAGGUGAAAAGCACCUCGAACAGAGGAGUGAAAUAGUCCCUGAAACCGUCUGCCUACAAGCGGUCGGAGCAACGUAAGUUGUGACGGCGUGCCUUUUGCAUAAUGAACCUACGAGUUACUUUCUCCGGCAAGGUUAAGGGCUUCAGGCCCGGAGCCGAAGCGAAAGCGAGUCUUAAUAGGGCGUGAUAGUCGGAGUGAGUAGACGCGAAACCAAGUGAUCUACCCUUGGUCAGGAUGAAGGUUGGGUAACACCAACUGGAGGUCCGAAUGGGUAUACGUUGAAAAGUGUUCCAAUGAACUGAGGGUAGGGGUGAAAGGCUAAUCAAACUUGGAGAUAGCUCGUACUCCCCGAAAUGCAUUUAGGUGCAGCCUUGCGGGUUACUGAUGUGAGGUAGAGCGACUGAUAAGAUGCGAGGGCUUCACCGCCUAUCAAGUCUUGACAAACUCCGAAUGCGCAUCAGUUCUACCGCAGGAGUGAGGGCAUGGGUGCUAAGGUCCGUGCCCGAGAGGAGAAGAAUCCGGACCACCGGCUAAGGUCCCGAAAUGACAGCUAAGUUAAACUAACGAAGUCUGAUUGCUAAGACAGCUAGGAUGUUGGCUUGGAAGCAGCCAUUCAUUUAAAGAGUGCGUAACAGCUCACUAGUCGAGGAGUUUUGCAUGGAUAAUAAUCGGGCAUAAGCCCUUUACCGAAGCUGUGGAUGUCGUAAGACAUGGUAGGGGAGCAUUCCGGCGGCGACGAAGGCCGUCCUCGAGGACGACUGGAGCUUUCGGAAAAGCAAAUGUAGGUAUAAGUAACGAUAAAGGGGGCGUGAAACCCCCUCGCCAUAAGACUAAGGAUUCCUGAUCAACGCUAAUCGGAUCAGGGUAAGUCGGGCCCUAAGGCGCAGCCGAACGGCGUAGCCGAUGGAAGAAACGGUAAAGAUUCCGUUACUGGAUAUAGGAGCGAUGUGGAGACGGAGAAGUGACACACCCGCCUGCCGACGGAAGCGCAGGUUAAAGGAAGUAGGUAAACGCCGGGUAGGCAAAUCCGCCUGGCGUGCCGAAGCUGACAGUAUCGAGAGCCCCCGGGCAAUCGAAUAGCGGUGGUAAUCAGGCUCCCAAGAAAAUCCGCUAAGCAUAUUCUAUAUCCACCCGUACCCCAAACGGACACACGUAGUCGGGUAGAAUAUACCAAGGCGCUCGAAAGACUCACGGUUAAGGAACUAGGCAAAUUGACCCUGUAACCUCGGGAAAAAGGGUCCCCAGUAAGAUGGGGCGCAGAGAAUAGGUCCAGGCAACUGUUUAACAAAAACACAGGGCUGUGCAAAAUUUCAAGAUGAAGUAUACAGCCUGACACCUGCCCGGUGCCGGAAGGUUAAGAGGAGAGCUAAUCGCAAGAGAAGGCUUGAAUUGAAGCCCCGGUAAACGGCGGCCGUAACUAUAACGGUCCUAAGGUAGCGAAAUUCCUUGUCGGGU